AGCAGCCGCGGUAAUUCCAGCUCCAAUAGCGUAUAUUAAAGUUGUUGCAGUUAAAAAGCUCGUAGUUGAAUUUCGGGAUUGACACAUCGGUCGUGCCUUAAGGGGUAUGAACUGGUGUAGUCAAUUUCUCACCUUCUGGAGAACCGCGCUGUCCUUAAUUGGGUGACGCGGGGAACCAGGACCUUUACUUUGAAAAAAUUAGAGUGUUUAAAGCAGGCAUUUUGCUUGAAUACAUUAGCAUGGAAUAAUAAAAUAGGACGGCAUGAUUCUAUUUUGUGGUUUCUAGGAUCACCGUAAUGAUUAAUAGGGAUAGUUNAGGGCAUUAGUAUUCAAUUGUCAGAGGUGAAAUUCUUGGAUUUAUUGAAGACUAACUACUGCGAAAGCAUUUGCCAAGGAUGUUUUCAUUAAUCAAGAACGAAAGUUAGGGAUCGAAGACGAUCAGAUACCGUCGUAGUCUUAAACCAUAAACUAUGCCGACUAGGAAUCAAGACGAUGUUAAUUUUUAUGUACUUCGUUUGGC
rnacentral:rRNA from 1 species